rnacentral:pre_miRNA from 1 species
GUUUGUGUGGGUGGUAUUCAGCACCAAGGACAGAUGUACCUGUGUGUGAAUGUUGUUCAGCACCAGGGAUAGAUGUGUUUGCUU